GCGGACAAGGAGUGUUCUGUUAGCUCAUUUUCACGAUGAACAACUGGCUUAGAACUGAUUGGGCAAGGGAAUCCACUGUAAUUGAAACAAAGCAUUCAGGGCCUCAAAGGGUGGUGCCACAAUGAUUCUGCCCAGGCUGAAGUCAAAGUGGGAAAUUAAUACGCGGGUAAACGGCGGAGUAAUUGACUCUUAAGGUGCCAAAUGCCUGUCAUCCAAUUAUGACGCGCAUGAAUGGAUAAUGAAUUCCCACUGUCCCCAUCCUGUCCAGCGAAACCACACCAAGGAACGGGCUUGGGUAAAUGCGGGGAAAGAAGACCCUGUUGACUUGACUAUGCUUUGUGAAAUGACUUGGAGGUGUAGAUAUGUGGGAGCUCUGGUAUCUUGAAAUACCCUACUUUAAUGUCACUUUACUUCUUAUCAACUGUGGCUGCUUCCCAGCAGGUUUGUUUCAAGGCAUCUCAUUGACUUGUUGACUUGCGUAGGACGUAUAGGUGGGAUUUGGCUGGGGCGGCACAUCUGUUAAAGGAAA
rnacentral:rRNA from 1 species